rnacentral:rRNA from 1 species
GACGAACGCUGGCGGCGUGCUUAACACAUGCAAGUCGAACGGAAAGGCCCUGCUUUUGUGGGGUGCUCGAGUGGCGAACGGGUGAGUAACACGUGAGUAACCUGCCCUUGACUUUGGGAUAACUUCAGGAAACUGGGGCUAAUACCGGAUAGGAGCUCCUGCUGCAUGGGGGGGGUUGGAAAGUUUCGGCGGUUGGGGAUGGACUCGCGGCUUAUCAGCUUGUUGGUGGGGUAGUGGCUUACCAAGGCUUUGACGGGUAGCCGGCCUGAGAGGGUGACCGGCCACAUUGGGACUGCGAUACGGCCCAGACUCCUACGGGCGGCAGCAGUGGGGAAUAUUGCACAAUGGGCGGAAGCCUGAUGCAGCAACGCCGCGUGCGGGAUGACGGCCUUCGGGUUGUAAACCGCUUUCGCCUGUGACGAAGCGUGAGUGACGGUAAUGGGUAAAGAAGCACCGGCUAACUACGUG